UACGAAGGGUGCAAGCGUUACUCGGAAUUACUGGGCGUAAAGCGCGCGUAGGCGGUUCGUUAAGUCUGAUGUGAAAGCCCUGGGCUCAACCUGGGAAUUGCAUUGGAUACUGGCGGGCUAGAGUACGGUAGAGGGUGGCGGAAUUCCUGGUGUAGCAGUGAAAUGCGUAGAUAUCAGGAGGAACAUCCGUGGCGAAGGCGGCCACCUGGACCAGUACUGACACUGAGGCACGAAAGCGUGGGGAGCAAACAGG
rnacentral:rRNA from 1 species